GUGUGGGUGUGUCGCCUGGAACAAGGAGAAAAGAGGGGAAAACCCUCUUAUUCAACAAAUCAGUAAAAUUGAAAGGGAAAUCAAAGUCUGAUUGUAUGCAUGAACAUCAAUCCUUGAUCACCUAAGAAUUUCCUACAUAAGGAAUCAAGGAAGAAAGUUCGAGUCGUUCCGGGUCGCAAACAAACAACGACAAAGGUAAAGCGACUUGCUAAACGGCGUUACUUGGAUCAGACACACUCAUGAUGCACGCUUCCGCGAAGACGCUAGUUAUGGUUUAAACUUUUGUUAAACGGUUUUCUUUUGUAAAAACGGGUCUUUUGUAAGUAACUUAACCCGGUUGUGGAUAAUUGUUGAACUCGUAGUUGUAGACUAUGCUAGUAGUUUAUGAAA